GGAUUUGCCAUCUUAAGCCCCUAGCGCAGGGACGAGGAAUUCCCUGGGACAGACUCUCUCACAGACAAAUGAUGGCAUUGAGUAGAAGAUCCCAGAUGCAUAGGGCCACGCCCGGUUUCAUUCGGUGAUGAAGACCAAACUCAGGGCUUUGUACCUGCUAAGCAAGCCCUCCGCCCAAUGAGCUGCACCGCCUCAGCCACUUCUUUAACUUGCUUGCCACUCCACCAAAGGGACGUCUCUGGGAUGCAGCAUGGGGGUGAGGUGGUAUAGCAUCUCUUUACUAUCUAUUCAUCUCAAAGAAGACUUUUGGAGACUUUGGGGACUUUUUGGAGACCCACAAACAGCCAAGCUGUAAGGACAGGCAGCCCUGUGGUCAGAGGAAGGAUGCAUGGCUGUGUCUAUGUGUGUGCCAUAUGCUUCCAUCUAUAAAGGCAGGAUGUAUGGCUGGGACACUCAGCCCUGAGCUGCAAAGCUGUCUCAUGGAACACCAAGAAAACAUCAGGUGAGGAGCCUGGGCUCUGGAGAUGAUCAGACAUGGAUACCACCUGCUUUUACACACAUGAGGCACCAAACCCCAAGAGCUCCCUAGGAUAUAGGCAACCUGAUGGUGCUUGAACUUUCAAGAGGGAGGCCUUCUGGAAAGUUCCACUUCCAUUUCAGAGGUCGGCACUUAACUUACCACUCCUUCCCUUAUGAGUCUAACUUAAAAAUACUUCUGGAGGCAUGGUGACUCAUGCUGGUGAUCGUAGGAAACCACUUGGAAACUGAGGCAGGAGGAUGGAGAAUUUUAGAAUAGCUUGAGCUUUGUAGUGUGUUUCAAUGUGAAUAACUGAAUGAGUACUAAAAACACUUGAGCUUUUCAGAAUCAAUGAGUUCUCUUGGUAUCUGCAGGCAUCAUGCCACUCAUGGUCUGGGAAAUUCAUUAAAGGCCUUGACCAAAAAAAUAAAAAUAAAGGCCUUGGCCAGGUCCUUCCUGGCACCCU
rnacentral:lncRNA from 1 species